UACAGAGGGGGCAAGCGUUGUUCGGAGUUACUGGGCGUAAAGGGCGCGUAGGCGGCCUGCUAAGUCGAACGUGAAAUCCCUGGGCUCAACCCAGGAACUGCGUCCGAUACUGGUUGGCUUGAAUCCGGGAGAGGGACGUGGAAUUCCAGGUGUAGCGGUGAAAUGCGUAGAUAUCAGGAGGAACACCGGUGGCGAAGGCGGGUCUCUGGGCCGAAAUUGACGCUGAGGAGCGAAAGCGUGGGGAGCAAACAGG
rnacentral:rRNA from 1 species